rnacentral:lncRNA from 1 species
GCACACCCAAAAUCCAGAGACAAGCCCAUGAUGAAAUUGCCUGCCCAGCCCGAAAACUUGAGAAAAACAAAAUAGGAUCCAGACAGAUUGGGCUUCACACCAAGAAUGUUGAAAACAAAGCUUCAGCCCAAAGAAAGGCCCAAUGAGGAAACUGACGAGAUGGGCUUCAAAGGAUCAGCCCAUGAAUUUUGAUUAGGUUCAGACCCAAGGGAUCAAAGACACACCCACGUGAUUGCCUCAGCUUUGGAAAAGUCAGCAAUACCGACUAAAAU